AGUCACAGACAAGUUCACUGAGAGUGUCUAUGUCCUUGCCAAUGAGCCAUCAGUGGCCCUGUACCGGCUACAGGAACACGUGCGACGCUCACUGCCAGAGCUGGCCCAGCACAAGGCUGAUAUGCAGCGGUGGGAGGAGCAGAGCCAGGGCGCCAUAUACACCGUGGAAUAUGCCUGCAGUGCUGUGAAGAGCUUGGUGGACAGCAGUGUGUACUUCCGAAGUGUGGAAGGCCUGCUCAAACAGGCCAUCAGUAUCCGGGACCACAUGAGCACCAGCGCCCAGGGCCACAGCCAGGAGAAACCAUCCCCUCCUCCUUCCGUGGCUUGACCCUGACCCUGGAAGACUUAGGGCUGCCAGCUUCCACACCCAGGUCAGUGUAGAGGCCACCACUCUGCUGAAC
rnacentral:lncRNA from 1 species